rnacentral:rRNA from 1 species
GCUUGCUCCUCUGACGUUAGCGGCGGACGGGUGAGUAACACGUGGAUAACCUACCUAUAAGACUGGGAUAACUUCGGGAAACCGGAGCUAAUACCGGAUAAUAUAUUGAACCGCAUGGUUCAAUAGUGAAAGACGGUUUUGCUGUCACUUAUAGAUGGAUCCGCGCCGCAUUAGCUAGUUGGUAAGGUAACGGCUUACCAAGGCAACGAUGCGUAGCCGACCUGAGAGGGUGAUCGGCCACACUGGAACUGAGACACGGUCCAGACUCCUACGGGAGGCAGCAGUAGGGAAUCUUCCGCAAUGGGCGAAAGCCUGACGGAGCAACGCCGCGUGAGUGAUGAAGGUCUUCGGAUCGUAAAACUCUGUUAUUAGGGAAGAACAAAUGUGUAAGUAACUAUGCACGUCUUGACGGUACCUAAUCAGAAAGCCACGGCUAACUACGUGCCAGCAGCCGCGGUAAUACGUAGGUGGCAAGCGUUAUCCGGAAUUAUUGGGCGUAAAGCGCGCGUAGGCGGUUUUUUAAGUCUGAUGUGAAAGCCCACGGCUCAACCGUGGAGGGUCAUUGGAAACUGGAAAACUUGAGUGCAGAAGAGGAAAGUGGAAUUCCAUGUGGUUAGC